rnacentral:rRNA from 1 species
UAGAAUGGUGGGUAAUACUGUAUAAUCCCCGCGGGGGAAAGAUUUAUCGCUAUUGGAUGAGCCUAUGUUAGAUUAGCUAGUUGGUGGGGUAAUGGCCUACCAAGGCUGUGAUCUAUAGCUGGUCUGAGAGGAUGAUCAGCCACACUGGAACUGAGAUACGGUCCAGACUCCUAUGGGAGGCAGCAGUGGGGAAUAUUGGACAAUGGGCGCAAGCCUGAUCCAGCUAUGCCGCGUGAGUGAGGAAGGCCUUAGGGUUGUAAAACUCUUUCAGUAGGGAAGAUAAUGACGGUACCUACAGAAGAAGUCCCGGCAAACUCCGUGCCAGCAGCCGCGGUAAUACGGAGGGGGCAAGCGUUGUUCGGAAUUAUUGGGCGUAAAGGGCAUGUAGGCGGUUUGGUAAGUUAAAAGUGAAAUGCCAGGGCUCAACCUUGGAGCUGCUUUUAAUACUGCCAGACA